rnacentral:rRNA from 1 species
AGAUUAAGUUAUUAAGGGCGCACGGUGGAUGCCUUGGCACUAGAAGCCGAUGAAGGACGUUACUAACGACGAUAUGCUUUGGGGAGCUGUAAGUAAGCGUUGAUCCAGAGAUUUCCGAAUGGGGAAACCCAGCAUGAGUUAUGUCAUGUUAUCGAUAUGUGAAUACAUAGCAUAUCAGAAGGCAGACCCGGAGAACUGAAACAUCUUAGUACCCGGAGGAAGAGAAAGAAAAAUCGAUUCCCUGAGUAGCGGCGAGCGAAACGGGAAGAGCCCAAACCAACAAGCUUGCUUGUUGGGGUUGUAGGACACUCUAUACGGAGUUACAAAAGUAUAUAUUAGACGAAUCAUCUGGAAAGUUGAAUCAAAGAAGGUAAUAAUCCUGUAGUCGAAAAUAUAUACUCUCUUGAGUGGAUCCUGAGUACGACGGAGCACGUGAAAUUCCGUCGGAAUCUGGGAGGACCAUCUCCUAAGGCUAAAUACUCUCUAGUGACCGAUAGUGAACCAGUACCGUGAGGGAAAGGUGAAAAGUACCCCGGAAGGGGAGUGAAAGAGAACUUGAAACCGUGUGCUUACAAGUAGUCAGAGCCCGUUAAUGGGUGAUGGCGUGCCUUUUGUAGAAUGAACCGGCGAGUUACGAUUUGAUGCAAGGUUAAGCAGCUAAUGUGGAGCCGUAGCGAAAGCGAGUCUGAAUAGGGCGUUUAGUAUUUGGUCGUAGACCCGAAACCAGGUGAUCUACCCUUGGUCAGGUUGAAGUUCAGGUAACACUGAAUGGAGGACCGAACCGACUUACGUUGAAAAGUGAGCGGAUGAACUGAGGGUAGCGGAGAAAUUCCAAUCGAACUUGGAGAUAGCUGGUUCUCUCCGAAAUAGCUUUAGGGCUAGCCUCAAGUGAUGAUUAUUGG